UCCUUCGGGGCAGGGUGAAAUUCCCGACCGGCGGUGAUGAUCAGCAAUUGAUCUUAGUCCGUGACCCGCAAUUUGCGGUGGAUUCGGUGAAACUCCGAAGCCGACAGUAUAGUCUGGAUGGGAGAAGGA
rnacentral:ncRNA from 1 species